ACGUACGCUGGCGGCACGCCUAACACAUGCAAGUCGAACGAAGUAGCAAUACUUAGUGGCAGACGGGUGAGUAACAUGUAGGUAUCUGCCCUUUGGCCUGGAAUAACACGAGGAAACUUGUGCUAAUACCGGAUAAGUCUUUACGGAGAAAGCUUUAUGCACCAUUGGAUGAGCCUGCACUUGAUUAGUUUGUUGGUGGGGUAAUGGCCUACCAAGACUGUGAUCAAUAGCUGAUUUGAGAGGAUGAUCAGCCACAUUGGGACUGAGACACGGCCCAAACUCCUACGGGAGGCAGCAGUGGGGAAUCUUGCACAAUGGAGGAAACUCUGAUGCAGCGAUGCCGCGUGAGUGAAGAAGGCCCUUGGGUUGUAAAGCUCUUUCGUCGGGGAAGAAAAUGACUGUACCCGAAUAAGAAGGUCCGGCUAACUUCGUGCCAGCAGCCGCGGUAAUACGAAGGGACCUAGCGUAGUUCGGAAUUACUGGGCUUAAAGAGUUCGUAGGUGGUUGAAAAAGUUAGUGGUGAAAUCCCAGAGCUUAACUCUGGAACUGCCAUUAAAACUUUUCAGCUAGAGUAUGAUAGAGGAAAGCAGAAUUUCUAGUGUAGAGGUGAAAUUCGUAGAUAUUAGAAAGAAUACCAAUUGCGAAGGCAGCUUUCUGGAUCAUUACUGACACUGAGGAACGAAAGCAUGGGUAGCGAAGAGGAUUAGAUACCCUCGUAGUCCAUGCCGUAAACGAUGUGUGUUAGACGUUGGAAAUUUAUUUUCAGUGUCGCAGGGAAACCGAUAAACACACCGCCUGGGGAGUACGACCGCAAGGUUAAAACUCAAAUGAAUUGACGGGGACCCGCACAAGUAGUGGAGCAUGUGGUUUAAUUCGAAGAUACGCGCAGAACCUUACCAACACUUGACAUGUUCGUCGCGACUCUAAGAGAUUAGAGUCUUCGGUUCGGCCGGACGAAACACAGGUGCUGCAUGGCUGUCGUCAGCUCGUGUCGUGAGAUGUUGGGUUAAGUCCCGCAACGAGCGCAACCCUCACUUUUAGUUGCCAUCAUUAAGUUGGGCACUCUGAAAGAACUGCCAGUGAUAAGCUGGAGGAAGGUGGGGAUGACGUCAAGUCCUCAUGGCCCUUACGUGUUGGGCUACACACGUGCUACAAUGGUAUCUACAACAGGAAGCAAGACUGCGAAGUUAAGCAAAUCCCUAAAAGAUACCUCAGUUCGGAUUGCACUCUGCAACUCGAGUGCAUGAAGCUGGAAUUACUAGUAAUCGUGGAUCAGCGUGCCACGGUGAAUGCGUUCCCGGGUCUUGUACACACCGCCCGUCAAGG
rnacentral:rRNA from 1 species